rnacentral:rRNA from 1 species
AGCGAACGCUGGCGGCAGGCUUAACACAUGCAAGUCGAGCGGGCGUAGCAAUACGUCAGCGGCAGACGGGUGAGUAACGCGUGGGAACAUACCUUUUGGUUCGGAACAACACAGGGAAACUUGUGCUAAUACCGGAUAAGCCCUUACGGGGAAAGAUUUAUCGCCGAAAGAUUGGCCCGCGUCUGAUUAGCUAGUUGGUGAGGUAAUGGCUCACCAAGGCGACGAUCAGUAGCUGGCUGAGAGGAUGAUCAGCCACAUUGGGACUGAGACACGGCCCAAACUCCUACGGGAGGCAGCAGUGGGGAAUAUUGGACAAUGGGCGCAAGCCUGAUCCAGCCAUGCCGCGUGAGUGAUGAAGGCCCUAGGGUUGUAAAGCUC